UACGUAGGUGGCAAGCGUUGUCCGGAUUUAUUGGGCGUAAAGCGAGCGCAGGCGGUUCCUUAAGUCUGAUGUGAAAGCCCACGGCUCAACCGUGGAAGGGCAUUGGAAACUGGGGAACUUGAGUGCAGAAGAGGAGAGUGGAAUUCCAUGUGUAGCGGUGAAAUGCGUAGAUAUAUGGAGGAACACCAGUGGCGAAGGCGACUCUCUGGUCUGUAACUGACGCUGAGGCUCGAAAGCGUGGGGAGCAAACAGG
rnacentral:rRNA from 1 species